AGAGUUUGAUCCUGGCUCAGAGUGAACGCUAGUAACAUACAUAACACAUGCGAGUCUAAAUAGUUAAAUAGAAAACUAUUGGCGUAUUGGUGAGUAAUGGAUAAGAACCUAAUGUUCGAACAGCAAGAAAUUUGUAGAUAGACUGUAUAAUUUUUUAUAUGGUUAAAGAUUAAAUCGUCGAAUAUUUUAAAAAAUUAUUAAAAACAGGGCUUAUUUAGAAUUAGGUUGUUGGUGGUGUAAAAGACUACCAAGCCUAUGAUUCUUAGUUGAUUUGGGAGAAUGGUCAACCACAUUGGGAUUGAAAAAAGCCCAAGUUCCAUAAGGAGGCAGCAGUGAGGAAUAUUGAACAAUGAACGAAAGUUUGAUUCAGUAAUGUUACGUGGAUGAUGAAGGUCGAUUUUGUCCGUAAAAUCCUUUCGUUAGUGAAAAUAAUGAUAUUAGCUAAAGAAGAAGCCCCGACUAACUUCGUGCCAGCAGUCGCGGUAAUACGGAGGGGGCUAGUGUUACUCUUCAUAACUGGGCUUAAAGGGCAUGUAGGAUGCUUACUUGUAUUUUAUUAAAAAGAAAGUAUAAAUAUACUUUAACGGUAUUAUAAACUGGUAAGCUUGAGUAUUUAGAAAGAUAGUCGAACUUUUAGUGGAGAGUUAAAAUCCAAAGAUAUUAAAAGGGCGUUCAAAUGGUGAAGACAACUGUCUGCUUCAUACUGACUCUGAUGUGCAAAAGCGUAGGUAGCAAACAGGAUUAGAGACCCUGGUAGUCUACGCUGUGACCGAUGAAUAUUGAAUAGUUUAAUCAAAUUUAAACUAUUUAAGUUAACGCAAGAAAUAUUCCGCCUGGGGACUAUGACCGCAAGGUUGAAACUCAAAGGAAUUGACUGAGAUUUACACAAGCGGUGGAGCAUGUGGUUUAAUUCGAUAUAAAUCGACAAAUCUUACCAAUCCUUGAGAUAUAGUUAAAAUUUUUAUUAAUUUAAGUAUUAUUUGUUAUUUGAUUAACUUUUAAUACAAACUAUACAGGUGUUGCAUGGCUGUCGUAAGCUCGUGUUGUGAAAUGUAUGGUUAACUCCAUUAACGAGCGAAACCCUUUAUAAAAAGUUAAAAAUAUUUUUAUUUAUGAUUGGUAAAUAACCAAUUGAAACUUAGGCUGAAGUCAAGUCAGUAUGACCCUUAUGGAUUUUGGGCUACACACGUGCUACAAUGAUAACCACAAAUAGAAGCAAAACCGUGAGGUUAAGCAAAUCUUUCAAAAGUUAUCCACAGUUCGAAUUGUUUUUUGAAACUCAAAAACAUGAAGUUGGAAUCGCUAGUAAUCGUAGAUCAUCAAGUUACGGUGAAUUAGUACCUGAAUCUAGUACACACUGCCCGUCACGCCACGGAAAUUGGUUUUGCCUGAAGUUAAUUUUUUAUAUUAAUUUUUGGUUUAACGUUUAUUAUAAAUUAUUUUUUUAUCAUUGUAAUAAAUUUUAAGUAUGAUUUAAAAAAUUAUC
rnacentral:rRNA from 1 species